AUGCCAUGGUCCUCGUCCUGUCCCAAUACCACCCAUAUCUAAAGAUCUCAUCAUUAGGAUGCAUGUCCAGGCUUGACAUUGCCAACUUGACUCGAUCUAGUGACCGCCAAUUCCUGGCAAUGGAGGAGGUUUUUCACCAGUUCAUGCUACAGGCAAAUCAGCUAAAACACAAGUGGAUUAUAAUAAAAGGAAGAGGCUAACAGGAUACGGGAGGAAGUGGACAUAGAAGAAACAGCCCCUAGAGGCACAACAAGUGAAAGAUUUGUUACUUUUUGUAUUAUUUAUUUAUACCGUGUUCUUUGUAUUCAUGUUCAGUGACAGAAACUGAGCAACAUAGUGAAAAGUUUUUAAGUGUUCAAGGAAUCUAAAAGAUCAGGUUGUUUAGUGGAGUAGCAAAAACCAAAAACCGAUCAUUCAAAAUUUGAAAAAUCUAAAGGAUAAUCUAGAUAAUUGAAGAAAAAUUUAAAGAUUCAUGGUCUAUGAAAAAGAAGAAAGAGACUUUGAAAUCCCUGCCAUGUCCCAUGCAACCAAAAAUUCAGAUACCUGGCUGUCAACAUUACAUCUCCUUUUAUCACAACUUGCUUACAUCUGUAAGACUGGUAGCCCCACUGUCAGACAUUAUGUCAUCCAAAUGUUAGAACUUCUUUCAUGACAACAGCAAAUAAGUGCAUGAAUGAAAGCCUUAAGAUGACGCCGAUGAAAUAGUGCAAAUUCACAUUUCAAAAACAAAAAAAAAAAGAAAAAUUCAUAUUGUUUGUGAUGCAUGCAAUCACCUGACCUCCUCAGCCCUAGGAAGCACAACUUCAAAUUGCAUGUCGUUUCCAUAUCCAAUAAUUGUUGGAUAUUGCUAGCAUACAUGACAGUUACUUGAGGAUUCUAGCUCUCGAAAUUAGAAAAAGGACUAUGGAUACUUCUCAUAUGCCCUAGAAUACUUCCAGAUGUCUCUGGAGAUGACGAAUAGGGC
rnacentral:lncRNA from 1 species